GACGAACGCUGGCGGCGUGCUUAACACAUGCAAGUCGAACGGAGUGGAGAACGGGGGAGUAACACGUGUGUGACCUGCCGUGCACUUCGGGCUAAGCCGGGGAAACUGGGUCUUAUACCGGGUAGUGUGGGAUGGGCCCGCGGCCUAUCAGCUUGUUGGUGGGGUAAUGGCCUCCCAAGGCGGCGACGGGUAGCCGGCCUGAGAGGGUGGACGGCCAGAUUGGGACUGUGAUACGGGCCCGACUCGUACGGGAGGCAGCAGUUGGGAAUAUGGCACAAGGGGGGGGAGCCUGAUGGAGCGACGCCGCGUGGGGUAAAACGGUCUGAGUGUUGUAAAGUCAUUGCCCCAUCGACGCGGUAGAUGUAGAAGAAGCACCGGCUAACUACGUGCCAGCAGCCGCGGUAAUAC
rnacentral:rRNA from 1 species